rnacentral:tRNA from 1 species
ACCUUCGUGGUGUAGUGGUCAGCACGCUCAACGCUUAAUCACGAAGUCCGUGGUUCGAGUCCCGGCGAGGGCA